GGAGCUGCGAGUUGCCGCGCCGCGCCACGCGGGGGGCGGGGCCCCAGGGGCUCGGGCCCGCCGGAGAAUCGGACUCGGGGCGUGGCGGAGGGAAUCGCUGGGCGCUUCUGUUCUGUAGCGGCCCGUGUGCGACCCCCGGUUAAAGCCCUGGACGGAAUCUGAGCCCUGCCCCUCGCGGCGGGUUCGCGGCUUAACCCAGUGCGUGGGGAAACCCGCCUGGGCCGGGAAACGUGGUUCUGUCUUGUCGCCCUGACACCCAGAACCAGCAUGCUGCACUGAGCGUGAUUCACCGCCCUGCCACAGGCCCAGCUUUCAAACGUUCCCGGAGACCAAUGGGUUUCCACACCUGCCUUUUUGGAUCUGGGCCUUGAUACCUUGAAAUGGUGCUGGGAAGAGCAGACUCCAGGUUACUUCACCUGCUCAAAUGCGGGACCGCAGAGGUUCACCGCAGUUGUGGCCUGGUCACUGGAGGUAACCACAACUUGUUGCCUGGCUCAAUGGCGGCCAACCUUUUUGAGUGCCAAAAUUAGGCCUGCAUCUUCUCUGAAUGCCACAGGGAUCCCCUUCCCUGCUGGGUCUGCUUUCUGCCUUGUGUUCCCUACUCCAUCUGCUGCUCUGCUUCCUGCUCCCUCCCCUAUGUGGCAGUGUGCUGCCUGUCCCCUCCAUGGUCUGCUGCAUGCCACGUGCACACAAGCUGCCUGUGCCACUUGUGGCAGGAAUGUCAUGGGCUGGCCAGGCCUGGACUAGCUGCUUGCAAAAGUUCUUCAGCAGUGCUUUCAAAAGGAUAAAUAUCCGGAAUGAGAUGCACAGGCAGAAGCCCAUUGUGUCCCUGUGAGCUGCGGGACCCCCAAGAGGACCCUGGUGGACCCCAACCCCAACCCCCAGCGCAGCCGGGAGGAAACUGGGAGCCCACCGAUGCUCCUGACCCUGCAGCUGAAAGAUUUUGAAAACUCUGGGACACGCCUGGGGAUAAACUUGAUCCCAGCACGAACUCCCUCUCCUGCCACUGCUGCUUCCCAGUGCGUGUCCUGGAAACAGAGGUGAAUGGGGCAGUUCCAUAUUGCUGGCACCUGGGAAAGGAUCUUGCAGCAGCCUGGUGAAGAACCACAGAUCUAGGGCCUCUCCCAAAUCAUCCCCUCUAUUUGUGCCCCUUUGGGUUCUGUCAGCCCUGCUUAGAAAGCACUUUUUCUUUCCACAGGGACAGAAUGCAACUGAAAAUUUCAUUUCUGCCUGAAAAUGUUGUACCUGGAAACUACAAAUGUUCCUCUCCUUAAAGCUGCUCACAACAAUAAAGCCUCCCUGAAUCUUC